rnacentral:rRNA from 1 species
GACGAACGCUGGCGGCGUGCUUAACACAUGCAAGUCGAGCGAGAAGUACCUCGGGUGCGAGUACAGCGGCGAACGGUGAGUAACACGUGGGUAACCUGCCCUGGAGACCGGGACAACCAUUCGAAAGGAUGGCUAAUACCGGAUAUCCUGCGGAAUCGCAUGGUUCCGUAGAAAAGGUAGCUUCGGCUUCCGCUCCUUGAUGGACCCGCGGCCCAUUAGCUUGUUGGUAGGGUAACGGCCUACCAAGGCAACGAUGGGUAGCCGGCCUGAGAGGGUGAUCGGCCACACUGGGACUGAGACACGGCCCAGACUCCUACGGGAGGCAGCAGUGGGGAAUCUUGCGCAAUGGGCGAAAGCCUGACGCAGCAACGCCGCGUGGGGGAAGAAGGCCUUCGGGUUGUAAACCCCUGUCAGGAGGGACGAAGCCACCUGCGUUAAUAGCGUAAGGGGUGACGGUACCUCCAGAGGAAGCCCCGGCUAACUACGUG